rnacentral:lncRNA from 1 species
CUGAUGCUGUAGUGAAACAUAGCAACAUAUUUGAAUCAUGACGAUGAUUACUUUGGUUGGAUAGGGACAUGACUGAAUGCUUUUGAGGAGUUCUGUCCUUUGAUAUGUUGUUCAAGGUAUACAUUCAUAGUUUCACUUAUUCAUUGCCCAUUUUGUAGAUUCCUAUGACUAAUGGCUUGUAUAGCAGGUAUGAAAAUUUUGCAUGUGAUCGACAGAUAGCCAACUGGAUUAUUUUCAGUAUCGAUAGAUUAUGUUUCUGAAAGUUGACGUCGUGGAAGACCAUUCUAGCAUGCCUGUUGAGACAAAUGGUAUUCCAUCAUCAAUGUUAUCUCUGCAAGCUGAAUGC